rnacentral:rRNA from 1 species
UGGGGAAUAUUGCACAAUGGGGGAAACCCUGAUGCAGCGACGCCGCGUGAACGAAGAAGGUAUUCGUAUCGUAAAGUUCUGUCCUAUGGGAAGAUAAUGACAGUACCAUAGAAGAAAGCUCCGGCUAAAUACGUGCCAGCAGCCGCGGUAAUACGUAUGGAGCGAGCGUUGUCCGGAAUUAUUGGGCGUAAAGGGUACGCAGGCGGUUUAAUAAGUCGAAUGUUAAAGAUCGGGGCUCAACCCCGUAAAGCAUUGGAAACUGAUAAACUUGAGUAGUGGAGAGGAAAGUGGAAUUCCUAGUGUAGUGGUGAAAUGCGUAGAUAUAUGGAGGAACACCAGUGGCGAAGGCGACUCUCUGGUCUGUAACUGACGCUGAGGCUCGAAAGCGUGGGUAGCAAACAGG